rnacentral:rRNA from 1 species
GGGGAAUAUUGCGCAAUGGGGGACAACCUGAAGCAGCAAUACCGCGUGGGUGAAGAAGGUCUUCGGAUCGUAAAGCCCCGUUAUUGUGGAAGAAAAAAAGACGGUACCCAAGAAGAACGUCCUGGCUAACUACGUGCCAGCAGCCGCGGUAAUACGUAGGGGACAAGCGUUGUCCGGAUUUACUGGGCGUAAAGGGCACGCAGGCGGUUUUUUAAGUCAGGUGUGAAAGGUACCGGCUCAACCGGUAACAUGCAUUUGAAACUGAAAGACUUGAGUAUUGGAGAGGCAAGUGGAAUUCCUAGUGUAGCGGUGAAAUGCGUAGAUAUUAGGAGGAACACCGGUGGCGAAGGCGGCUUGCUGGACAAAUACUGACGCUGAGGUGCGAAAGCGUGGGGAGCAAACA